GGUUUCACCCUCUCCCCCUCACAGGUCAGCAGCAACCAGCCCCCUCCUUCAGUGGCCCCGCACCAGGUACUCAGACCACCCAAACCUGGCCACAGUGCCACCAAAGCCAGCCCGUGGUGGCCAUGACCUCUUCAGACGCUCAGCAAGGCAGGGGCCUGAUGCCCUUCAGGCGUUACUCAGGCGAGUCAGGCCUGGCCUGCCUCUGCCAAGGCGUGGGGCACUCUGGGAGACCACCUGGGGGUCAGGAUGGGGCUGUAGGUUGAGACACCCUCAAGGCCAGUGCCUCCCGUGCAUCCAGGCCUUAGCCCUGUGCUCUGAGCUGGCCUGGCCUGGCCAAGGGGUGGAAACAGCCCUGUGCCCACCAGCUCCCAGGAGAGCUUCCAGGGGAGGACCCCCCCAGUGAAGGCAGGUGUCCUCGGCCUCCCUCUGGGUGCUGCCGUGGCCUGUGGGUGCCAGAGCCAUUGGCAUGGCUGGCCUGGCCUCUGACCGCACAGCUUGGUGAGCCAUGGUGAUGGGGGAGGGUGACACAGCUGCUCCUGGCACCAAGCAGUGUAGUUCAGGCCCCACGGGCCUUGCCAGCAGCUCUGGCCAGAUGGAGGCUGCUAAGGGGCCCCUAGGCUGUCCCUCAAGUCCAAGGUCUGCAGCCACACGCUGGUGUCACGCCCGGAGCUCUGAAGACGCCUGAGGGCCGCCUGCACGCCCUGAGUGAAACUCGUCUGUGCUUCAUCUCCAGGGCGUCUCUGGCCGAGCCUCUUUUUGUGGAAAACGACAGCAGCAGCAGUGGCCUGGAAGACGCCACCGCUAACUGACCCCGACCUGGCCCCGCUCCAGGAUGGGACUGCCGAGUGUGGCCCGGAGCUGGCCCGGGACAGCCAGGGCGGCAGGGAGGGCCCCUGGCCGGGAGCCGCAGCGCUCACUCAUUUCUCCUGCGUCUGUGUGCAUAGGACAUGAUACUAAUAACCACACGGCUGGCGUGACCUUGGGGCUGGGGCUGGGCCUAAGCUGGUGCCCUGGUGCGGCGUGGUCUCUCCCAGGAGACCUGGGGCAUGAGCUGGGCCCACGGCUCCCUUCCCAUGUGUAACUUCCUCACGUUGUGUGCGAUAACGUAUUUUAUUGUACAUUUUUUUAAAUUAAAAGUUUAUAUGCCUUA
rnacentral:lncRNA from 10 species